GACGAACCGUGCGAACGUUAUUCGGAAUCACUGGGCUUAAAGCGCGUGUAGGCGGGGCGGCACGUCGGUCGCUGAAAGCCCCCGGCUCAACCGGGGAACGGGCGCCGAUACGACCGCCCUCGAGGGACGUAGGGGGACCUGGAACUUCCGGUGGAGCGGUGAAAUGCGUUGAGAUCGGAAGGAACGCCCGUGGCGAAAGCGAGGUCCUGGACGUCUGCUGACGCUGAGACGCGAAAGCCAGGGGAGCGAACGGG
rnacentral:rRNA from 1 species